CUAGGGUACAAAUUGAAUUUCAUCAUGUGUUAGCCAAUGAUAUAGUAAUAGAAUAGGGAUAUUUUUUUUUUGCCUUGAGGCUUUGUUAUCUGCUUCUUUGUGUAUUCUAAAGAGCCGGAGUUCUUAAAAACAGCACUGCAAGCGUUCAGCUAAAAAAUGCCCUUUUGUAGCCUUUUCAGAUUAUAGCCCUUCUAUACAAUGUAUUCAGUCAACUUUCUUCCUGUUUCCCUAUCAGUUAAAUUUAGGACUAUUGUCUUGGUCUAUUAAUGUGAUAGAAUAUCUAGGAAAGUCAAUGACUAUUUACAAAACUGGCACCUACCAUGUCUGCGAAACUCUCAGCCAAACCGGUGCAGCCAUCUGAAAACAGAUGGGUUCACCAUGCGUUAUUACACCUCAGAAUUCCAGCCACGUUCACCGAUUGCAUCACUACCCACUAUUCAUUACUGAG
rnacentral:lncRNA from 1 species